CUUCCGCGCAGAUAGAUGUUUAUACACCACAAGCUGCAAGCAACCUCUGGACAUUCUGAAUAACCCCGGCGAGUCAGUGAGAUUGUCAGAACCAGUGGACUGAUGAUGCCAGUUUACUUUCCAGCCUGGGGUGAGGGGAAAGCUCUGCUCCAAUCCUUCCCUACUCUAACCCUCAAGAGCUUUUCUACACGCACACCUCUCAUACCGCUUUAAGGAGUUGGCUGAUCCAGGCCA